rnacentral:rRNA from 1 species
GAUGAACGCUGGCGGCGUGCCUAAUACAUGCAAGUCGAGCGAAUGGAUUAAGAGCUUGCUCUUAUGAAGUUAGCGGCGGACGGGUGAGUAACACGUGGGUAACCUGCCCAUAAGACUGGGAUAACUCCGGGAAACCGGGGCUAAUACCGGAUAACAUUUUGAACAGCAUGGUUCGAAAUUGAAAGGCGGCUUCGGCUGUCACUUAUGGAUGGACCCGCGUCGCAUUAGCUAGUUGGGGAGGUGACGGCUCACCAAGGCAACGAUGCGUAGCCGACCUGAGAGGGUGAUCGGCCACACUGGGACUGAGACACGGCCCAGACUCCUACGGGAGGCAGCAGUAGGGAAUCUUCCGCAAUGGACGAAAGUCUGACGGAGCAACGCCGCGUGAGUGAUGAAGGCUUUCGGGUCGUAAAACUCUGUUGUUAGGGAAGAACAAGUGCUAGUUGAAUAAGCUGGCACCUUGACGGUACCUAACCAGAAAGCCACGGCUAACUACGUGCCAGCCGCCGCGGUAA